UUCUGGUUGAUCCCGCCAGAGGUUACUGCUAUCGAGGUUCGACUAAGCCAUGCGAGUCGAAUGUAGCAAUACAUGGCGUACUGCUCAGUAACACGUGGACAACCUACCCUUAGGAUGGGGAUAAACCCGGGAAACUGGGUAUAAUACCCAAUAGAUCUGGUCUGCUGGAAUGCUUCCAGAUUUAAAACUCCGGUGCCUAAGGAUGGGUCUGCGGCCUAUCAGGUUGUAGUGGGUGUAGUGUACCUACUAGCCUACGACGGGUACGGGUUGUGAGAGCAAGAGCCCGGAGAUGGAUUCUGAGACACGAAUCCAGGCCCUACGGGGUGCAGCAGGCGCGAAAACUUUACAAUGCCGGCAACGGCGAUAAGGGGACCUCGAGUGCCAGGUUACAAAUCUGGCUGUCGCGAUGCCUAAAAAGCAUUGCAUAGCAAGGGCCGGGCAAGACCGGUGCCAGCCGCCGCGGUAACACCGGCGGCUCGAGUGGUAACCGUUAUUAUUGGGUCUAAAGGGUCUGUAGCCGGCCGGGUAAGUCUCUUGGGAAAUCCAGCAGCUCAACUGUUGGGCUUUCAGGAGAUACUGCCUGGCUCGAGGCCGGGAGAGGUGAGAGGUACUUCAGGGGUAGGGGUGAAAUCUUGUAAUCCUUGAAGGACCACCAGUGGCGAAGGCGUCUCACCAGAACGGACCUGACGGCAAGGGACGAAAGCUAGGGGCACGAACCGGAUUAGAUACCCGGGUAGUCCUAGCCGUAAACGAUACUCGCUAGGUGUCGGCCACGGUGCGACCGUGGUCGGUGCCGUAGGGAAGCCGUGAAGCGAGCCACCUGGGAAGUACGGCCGCAAGGCUGAAACUUAAAGGAAUUGGCGGGA
rnacentral:rRNA from 1 species